rnacentral:rRNA from 1 species
GAUGAACGCUGGCGGCGUGCCUAAUACAUGCAAGUCGAGCGAACGGACGAGAAGCUUGCUUCUCUGAUGUUAGCGGCGGACGGGUGAGUAACACGUGGAUAACCUACCUAUAAGACUGGGAUAACUUCGGGAAACCGGAGCUAAUACCGGAUGAUAUUUUGAACCGCAUGGUUCAAAAGUGAAAGACGGUCUUGCUGUCACUUAUAGAUGGAUCCGCGCUGCAUUAGCUAGUUGGUAAGGUAACGGCUUACCAAGGCAACGAUGCAUAGCCGACCUGAGAGGGUGAUCGGCCACACUGGUACUGAGACACGGUCCAGACUCCUACGGGAGGCAGCAGUAGGGAAUCUUCCGCAAUGGGCGAAAGCCUGACGGAGCAACGCCGCGUGAGUGAUGAAGGUCUUCGGAUCGUAAAACUCUGUUAUUAGGGAAGAACAUAUGUGUAAGUAACUGUGCACAUCUUGGCGGUACCUAAUCAGAAAGCCACGGCUAACUACGUG